GAUGAACGCUGGCGGCGUGCCUAAUACAUGCAAGUCGAGCGAACAGACGAGGAGCUUGCUCCUCUGACGUUAGCGGCGGACGGGUGAGUAACACGUGGAUAACCUACCUAUAAGACUGGGAUAACUUCGGGAAACCGGAGCUAAUACCGGAUAAUAUAUUGAACCGCAUGGUUCAAUAGUGAAAGACGGUUUUGCUGUCACUUAUAGAUGGAUCCGCGCCGCAUUAGCUAGUUGGUAAGGUAACGGCUUACCAAGGCGACGAUGCGUAGCCGACCUGAGAGGGUGGUCCGCCACACUGGAACUGAGACACGGUCCAGACUCCUACGGGAGGCAGCAGUAGGGAAUCUUCCGCAAUGGGCGAAAGCUUGACGGAGCAACGCCGCGUGAGUGAUGAAGGUCUUCGGAUCGUAAAACUCUGUUAUUAGGGAAGAACAAAUGUGUAAGUAACUGUGCACGUCUUGACGGUACCUAAUCAGAAAGCCACGGCUAACUACGUG
rnacentral:rRNA from 1 species